AGGUGCAUGACGAUCCCCAAAGUGCACCUGUUGAUGGUCCAACGCAGUGGCCAUUACGUAACUUGGAUGAGCUAUUACAAGAACUGGUGGCGAUUGCUAGAGUUAGCAAAGGAAAACAACAAUUCAAAAUAGAUCUCACACCAUUUCGUGAAGAUUAGUCUUCAAUUCACGGGAAAAGGUAAAGCAAGAAAAGCGAUGCAGCCACCAUUUAGUGAUAAUGUUUUUCCGCAGUUUAAACUUAUCUAUGCAUCAACAGAAGGAAAUAUUGAUAACUGUAAUUUCUGUCUAUCAUAGCAGUUUCGACCCCAUAUAAGUAAUUCAUUUACA